GUGGGGAAUUUUGGACAAUGGGCGCAAGCCUGAUCCAGCAAUGCCGCGUGCAGGAAGAAGGCCUUCGGGUUGUAAACUGCUUUUGUACGGAACGAAAAGGUCCUGGCUAAUAUCCGGGGCUAAUGACGGUACCGUAAGAAUAAGCACCGGCUAACUACGUGCCAGCAGCCGCGGUAAUACGUAGGGUGCGAGCGUUAAUCGGAAUUACUGGGCGUAAAGCGUGCGCAGGCGGUGCUGUAAGACAGGCGUGAGAUCCCCGGGCUCAACCUGGGAGUUGCGCGUGUGUCUGCAGUGCUGGAGUGCGGCAGAGGGGGAUGGAAUACCGCGUGUAGCAGUGAAAUGCGUAGGUAUGCGGACGAGCACCGAUGGCGAAGUCAAUCCCCUGGGCCUGCACUGACGCUCAGGCACGAAAGCGUGGGGAGCAAACAGGAUUAGAUACCCUGGUAGACC
rnacentral:rRNA from 1 species